rnacentral:rRNA from 1 species
UACGUAGGGGGCUAGCGUUGUCCGGAUUUAUUGGGCGUAAAGAGCGUGUAGGCGGCCAUGUAGGUCCGGUGUGAAAACUCGAGGCUUAACCUCGAGAUGUCAUCGGAAACCAUUUGGCUAGAGUCCGGAAGAGGAGAGUGGAAUUCCUGGUGUAGCGGUGAAAUGCGCAGAUAUCAGGAAGAACACCAAUGGCGAAAGCAGCUCUCUGGACGGUACUGACGCUGAGACGCGAAAGCGUGGGGAGCAAACAGG